CGGCCGCGUCGACGGCUCGUUGGGUUACGUUAAACCCCUUUUCUCGUGGGAAAGAAAGUUGUAGAAAGCAACCUGACGGUACCAGAGGAAUCAGCAGUCGGACUAACUACGUCGCCAGCACGCCGACGGUAAUACGGUAGGGUGGACAAGUCGUUCGGUACCGGUAAUUUAGUUGGGACGUAAAGCGCGCGCGAGGUCGGUUACCUUUAAGUCUGAUGUAGAAACGCCCGACGGCUACCAACCGUGGGAGGUCUAGUUAGAACGUGGGGGACUUGAGUGCAGAAGAGGAAAGUGGAAUUCCAAGUGUAGCGGUGAAAUGCGUAGAGAUUUGGAGGAACACCAGUGGCGAAGGCGGUCGACGCGGCCG
rnacentral:rRNA from 1 species